AAAUGAAAUCUAAUAAAUCCAAAGAGUUCUUCGCAGAAUUAAAAGUCCUGUGUAGGAUCCAUCAUAUUAAUGUGGUGGAGCUUCUGGGGUAUGCCAGCGGGGAUGACCAUUUGUAUUUGGUUUAUGAAUAUGUUCCUAAUGGAUCCUUGAGUGACCAUCUUCAUGAUCCACUAAAAAGAGGUUAUCAACCUCUAUCGUGGACUACAAGAACACAAAUAGCUUUGGAUGCUGCAAAGGGUAUCGAGUACAUUCACGAUCAUACCAAAGCACGAUAUGUUCAUCGGGACAUAAAGACGAGUAAU